UUGGCCUCAAAUCAGGUAGGACUACCCGCUGAACUUAAGCAUAUCAAUAAGCCGGAGGAA
rnacentral:rRNA from 1 species